rnacentral:rRNA from 1 species
UAGGGAAUCUUCCGCAAUGGACGCAAGUCUGACGGAGCAACGCCGCGUGAGUGAAGAAGGAUUUCGGUUCGUAAAACUCUGUUGUUAGAGAAGAACAGCGCAUAGAGUAACUGUUAUGCGUGUGACGGUAUCUAACCAGAAAGCCACGGCUAACUACGUGCCAGCAGCCGCGGUAAUACGUAGGUGGCAAGCGUUGUCCGGAUUUAUUGGGCGUAAAGCGAGCGCAGGCGGUCAAUUAAGUCUGAUGUGAAAGCCCCCGGCUCAACCGGGGAGGGUCAUUGGAAACUGGUUGACUUGAGUGCAGAAGAGGAGAGUGGAGUUCCAUGUGUAGCGGUGAAAUGCGUAGAUAUAUGGAGGAACACCAGUGGCGAAGGCGACUCUCUGGUCUGUAACUGACGCUGAGGCUCGAAAGCGUGGGUAGCAAACAGG